rnacentral:rRNA from 1 species
CCUACGGGAGGCAGCAGUGAGGAAUAUUGGUCAAUGGACGAGAGUCUGAACCAGCCACGUAGCGUGAAGGAUGACUGCCCUAUGGGUUGUAAACUUCUUUUAUAUGGGAAUAAAAUGUUCCACGUGUGGGAUUUUGUAUGUACCAUAUGAAUAAGGAUCGCCCAACUCCGUGCCAGCAGCCGCGGUCAUACGGAGGAUCCGAGCGUUAUCCGGAUUUAUUGGGUUUAAAGGGGGCGUAGGUGGAUUGUUAAGGCAGUUGUGAAAGUUUGUGGCAGAACCGUAAAAUUGCAGUUGAAACUGGCAGUCUUGAGUACAGUAGAGGUGGGCGGAAUUCGUGGUGUAGCGGUGAAAUGCUUAGAUAGCACGAAGAACUCCGAUUGCGAAGGCAGUUCACUGGACUGCAACUGACACUGAGGCUCGAAAGUGUGGGUAUCAAACAGGAUUAGAUACCCUAGUAGUC